CAAAUCAACUCAAUGAAACUACAGCUGCAGUGUGACACACAAGGGCGUGGCCUAUUUUUGACCAAUCAGAUUCCAGCAGGCUUCUGGGAGACCUGAGGCCUGUUUAACCUGUGACCAUGUGCUGUUUGACUGCAGCAGUGGAACUGGACCUGUCAUGUGGGGGGAACACAUUAACCUGCCUCGGCUGUCACGCUAGCGUACAAUGAGUCAGCGUCAGCAGAGGAGGACCUGAGCAUACCAUUCUCACACAUCAAAGGGCGGUUUCAAGUGACUCCAUAUGCUCUAGUCACGCAAUGCUGUGUGUGUGCAAACCUCCAGCAACUGUUCAAGCCCAGCACAGAAGAAAGCCAUCAAGUACCUGCAAUUGACAGAAUCGCGUGCAAUUCAGGUACUCCUGGAUUGUACUGGAGCACGGCCAAAGGUGGAGUGAAGGAAAAAGUGGAGUGGAGCUUCAAGCAAUCUCCGUCUCACCUGCACAGUGCAGCGUCAGCCCAGGCUUGGAUUUGAGCUCCAGUCCUUGGAAUCCAGCCCUGGUUUUGAGGUUUUGGAAAAGCUGUGAUCCCAGAAACACAAGCAAGCCUGGAGGUGGUUAGGACAUGAAAGUGAGAUCGCUGGGUUUACAGAUGGUUGGAUGGAAGUCUGUGAACACGUCAUAAUUGCUUCAGCAUCAGUGAGGAUAACAUGGCACUACAACAAGUCCAGGCCUUCAACCGUGGGUCCUGGCUCGUGUUGAUCGCAGUCUGGCCAGCUUCCUGUCUAACCAACAAGAGCAUGUAGAAAGAGACGGGCAGCAAACAUGGCUACAUCCACCUGCUAAUCCAGCCAGGUCACAGAGGCCAAAAACAGCAAGUUACUAGAGCACGGAGUGAUGGACAACUAACCUGCAAUUACUGUGACCAGACAGGCUCAGCGAAGGAGACUCUAAUCACUGUUAUCAUCCAAAGAGGAAAAGAAGAAAAGGAGUGAUGAGUUGAACCUGCUGCCCCCGCCCCACACCACCCCCACCUGCUGGCCAAAGGAGGAUCACAACAAGUGUCCUGCAUGAGCACAUGGAGAAACUAUCAUGUGGAUUUGGGGACCGGAUGGAUUACAGCCAAGCAGCUGAGCCCAAGCUAAAUCCAUGGAUCAAAGGAGCACCUUGGGAGAUAAACAGACCUGACUACAGGCAUACUGAGAAACAUCUGACACCUGACUGAUGAUAAUGGAGGUCAUCCACCUGCCAGGACUGGCUAAACGCCACGUCAAGUUGUUCAUCAGCUGGCGGACAUUCACUCAGACAGACACGCAGGACAAGACCGCAGCUUUGAGACCGGACAAAAGAGCUACACAGGUCUCCAGAGAACAGUGAGGACCUCUCUGACCUUGAUACUCCUGGCUGGAGGAUCUGGACCGCAGGCAGUCCAGUGAAGUGUGUCUACAGUACGAGGCCACGGACCUGGGAGUUGAGAAAUGCCCUGAGAAAAGUAUCGGAAAGCGGAGCAAUAACAUCCUUGAGUGUGCCUGGGUGAUGGCGCUGGGGCCACGGCGGCUGCUGUCUGGGGGGGAAAUUAAAGUGAAAUACAUCUCUCGGCUCUUGUACGUCACACGCCCAUAAGGAGAUUCUCUGUGAUUGUCGUCUUUGCAGCCAGCACAUUAUUUAAAGAGGUUUUUCAUGUGGUUUAAUAAAUCCUAGGUAAACGUUUUGAACUCUGCUUUACAACAAUGUGAUCAGACACAGAUCCUGUUGCCUGUCUGGGAGGCCAGGACUUGGUAUAUGUUAUAAAACAGGAAAUCCAGAUUAAUGUGAAGUAAUGUGAAGUCCUUCUGCAGUGUAAUGACGUUUUCUGUGACUUUGUGCAGAAAAACAAAAGUUAAAACCAACCAACCGACCAAUCAGGGCUGCAAAUGU